rnacentral:rRNA from 1 species
GAUGAACGCUGGCGGCGUGCCUAAUACAUGCAAGUCGAGCGGCAGCACGGUCUUCGGACUGGUGGCGAGCGGCGGACGGCUGAGUAACGCGUAGGAACGUACCCCAAAGUGAGGGAUAACUGCUCGAAAGAGUAGCUAAUACCGCAUGUGGUCUAAGGAUUAAAGCUUCGGCGCUUUGGGAACGGCCUGCGUAAGAUUAGCUAGUUGGUGAGGUAAUGGCUCACCAAGGCGAUGAUCUUUAGCUGGUCUGAGAGGAUGAUCAGCCAGACUGGGACUGAGACACGGCCCAGACUCCUACGGGAGGCAGCAGUAGGGAAUUUUCCACAAUGGGCGAAAGCCUGAUGGAGCAACGCCGCGUGCAGGAUGAAUGCCUUCGGGUUGUAAACUGCUUUUAUAUGUGACGAUUAUGACGGUAGCAUAUGAAUAAGGAUCGGCCAACUCCGUGCCAGCAGCCGCGGUAA